rnacentral:lncRNA from 1 species
CAAACAAGAUUUUCAUGCAUACAAACAAGGGAAAAGGUCUAUGUAUAAGGAAGAAGAAUUCCCAACAGGUUGUCAAGAAGUUGAUCAUGAAAUUUGUUCCAGACUUCUCUACCACCUAGAAAGAAACUAAUUGACCAAUGUAGUUGAACAACAAAUGUUCCCAUUUCAUACAUUUACAGGCAGUUUGUGACUGGCCACUCUACACCUUUGAUGCGCAAGAGAGAAUUCUUGGUCCAGUAGAAUGCCGAACAACAUGACGCAUAGUUGCCGCCUCUUUUGUUGUUUGCCUUCGCACAGUAUCGGUUCCUGUAAAACUGGAUUAACUUAGUUUGGUUUUAUGUCAGGAACAAGAAAUAUAGCUAUUCACAGGAGCAACUGCAGCAGCACAUCUAUUAACUUGAGAAUCAAAAACCUACAUGGUAGAUCAAGCAUAUUGUUGCCACCAGUCAGGACCUAGCCGGUGGCAAAAGUGCGCGUGCCAGCGGACAUCAUCGCCGGAGCGAAGUUUGGCGACGCAGCCAAGCUCGCCACACCAAGUGCCGCCUACUUGAUGCAAAUAGGAG